rnacentral:snoRNA from 1 species
CCAAUGUACUGACCCUCAUGAUGUACAGUCCCUUUCCACAACACUGGAGAAAAAGCUGGGUCUUGAGUCUGUGCCUGCACUUACCUACAACUUCUCAGAGUCCUGUGGACAAUGACUGAGGAGAUAAACCAUGCAGGAAACAAUG